AUACCUUAGUACGGCGAGUGAGCGGUAAAAGCUCAAAUUUGAAAUCUGGUACUUUCAGUGCCCGAGUUGUAAUUUGUAGAAUUUGUCUUUGAUUAGGUCCUUGUCUAUGUUCCUUGGAACAGGACGUCAUAGAGGGUGAGAAUCCCGUUUGGCGAGGAUACCUUUUCUCUGUAAGACUUUUUCGAAGAGUCGAGUUGUUUGGGAAUGCAGCUCAAAGUGGGUGGUAAAUUCCAUCUAAAGCUAAAUAUUGGCGAGAGACCGAUAGCGAACAAGUACAGUGAUGGAAAGAUGAAAAGAACUUUGAAAAGAGAGUGAAAAAGUACGUGAAAUUGUUGAAAGGGAAGGGCAUUUGAUCAGACAUGGUGUUUUUUGCAUGCACUCGCCUCUCGUGGGCUUGGGCCUCUCAAAAAUUUCACUGGGCCAACAUCAAUUCUGGCAGCAGGAUAAAUCAUUAAGAAUGUAGCUACUUCGGUAGUGUUAUAGCUUUUUGGAAUACUGUUAGCCGGGAUUGAGGACUGCGCUUCGGCAAGGAUGUUGGCAUAAUGGUUAAAUGCCGCCCGUCUU
rnacentral:rRNA from 1 species